rnacentral:lncRNA from 1 species
CCGUUCUUGAUUUGAGGACUAGUCUUAUUGUUUAUAAUCACACAAGAUUCUCUUUCCAACCUUAUAUCCUUUCAGGCAUGAUGUUUUUAGUCCCCAGUGACCUGCCAAAGUUAAUGCCAUAGGGAAGCAUCUUACAUGUCCCGCUGGUAAGAUCGGUCCCCUUGUAUUCAAGCUUCUUUUAUUCUUAUACGGGGGUCCUAUCCCCGAUUGUUCCCCAUCUCAAAACGUAAAGCCAAUUCAUCGAAGAACAACCUUCAAAGAAGCAGAUGGUUUGUCUGUCAAGGAACUCAUAACAAUACCAUAUAUUUACAGUACACCUCCAGAAAAAGAAACAGAUGAAAUUACAGUGGAUUUGAUUUGACAUACUCCACUCAAUACAGGGUACAGGGUGGUGACCAAAGUGUAGACGCUGACAGGAGAGAAUGGAAACAUGGGUGGGUCUGUAUUCCUUCAUAUUCCGUCAAAAUUCCAACAUAACUUGAACACCCUACUGAAAUUUUUGAACAAACCCUUAAUUUUCUGACAAGCUUUAUGCCUGUUUGUUGGCUAAAGUAUUUGACUUUAGGCCUACUCCUAUAGAAGGCUUGAAUACAAGGGGACAAUCUUGGGACAAUCUUUGCAACACUCUGAGCUGAUUCAUAAAACAGUUAUGCAAAACUACAUGUGGACUUUUUUUUUUUUUGAUAGGUAAAACUACAUGUGGACUCUGCAACAAGAAUAUUUAACUAAGACCUAAUCUAAUGAACCAUUGAUCUUAAUCUUGGGAACCAAUAACAGAAUGAGGCUA